UGCAAUGGACCACAGUUUGAAAAGCAGUGUCCUCAAGGAUAUGCUCUGGCAACACAGACCCACAUCACUUCCUUGCUGUUAGGGGUCUUCAUGGUCCCGUGAAGAACGCAGGACAGGCAUCAUCAUCUCCGUUUUUCAAACAAGAAAAUGAGGCCAAGACAGCUAUUCCGUUUUGGCUAACGCAGAAGGGGAUGCGGGUGAGGAAGCUUCUAAGUCCGGCUCUCCAUUCGCCAGAGUAACCGCCUGUCCCGGAGGGCGCAGAGUGAACAGUACCUGGUCCAGGGAGUAAGAAGGAAGCCGAGGGUAUCAUCAACAAGCCUGACUUUCGGAUCCUGCAGGAAAAACCCAUAUAGUGAAGCGCUUGGGUUUUAAACGCAGGGCUUUCCAGACACAUUUGGGGAGUUCAACUCGAGCGCUUUGUGCUCAUGGACCAGCCGCGCAACUUUUGAAGGCUCGCCGGCCCAUGCGGGGUCUUUCUGGCGGCGCGCCGCCUGCAGUCCCUCUAAAGCGCCGGGGCUGGAGUUGCUGAG